AGUGAACGCUGGCGGCAGGCCUAACACAUGCAAGUCGAACGGCAGCACAAGAGAGCUUGCUCUCUGGGUGGCGAGUGGCGGACGGGUGAGGAAUGCAUCGGAAUCUGCCCAUUUGUGGGGGAUAACCUCGGGAAACCGGGACUAAUACCGCAUACGACCUACGGGUGAAAGCACGGGAUCUUCGGACCUUGCGCAGAUGUAUGUGCCGAUGCCGGAUUAGCUAGUUGGAGGGGUAAAGGCCCACCAAGGCGACGAUCCGUAGCUGGUCUGAGAGGAUGAUCAGCCACACUGGGACUGAGACACGGCCCAGACUCCUACGGGAGGCAGCAGUGGGGAAUAUUGGACAAUGGGCGCAAGCCUGAUCCAGCCAUGCCGCGUGUGUGAAGAAGGCCUUCGGGUUGUAAAGCACUUUUGUUGGGAAAGAAAAGCAGCCGGUUAAUACCCGGUUGUCAUGACGGUACCCAAAGAAUAAGCACCGGCUAACUUCGUG
rnacentral:rRNA from 1 species